UGGGGAGUACGGCCGCAAGGUUAAAACUCAAAUGAAUUGACGGGGGCCCGCACAAGCGGUGGAGCAUGUGGUUUAAUUCGAUGCAACGCGAAGAACCUUACCUACUCUUGACAUCCAGAGAAUUUAGCAGAGAUGCUUUAGUGCCUUCGGGGACUCUGAGACAGGUGCUGCAUGGCUGUCGUCAGCUCGUGUUGUGAAAUGUUGGGUUAAGUCCCGCAACGAGCGCAACCCUUAUCCUUUGUUGCCAGCGAUUCGGUCGGGAACUCAAAGGAGACUGCCGGUGAUAAACCGGAGGAAGGUGGGGAUGACGUCAAGUCAUCAUGGCCCUUACGAGUAGGGCUACACACGUGCUACAAUGGCGUAUACAAAGAGAAGUGACCUCGCGAGAGCAAGCGGAACUCAUAAAGUACGUCGUAGUCCGGAUUGGAGUCUGCAAUUCGACUCCAUGAAGUCGGAAUCGCUAGUAAUCGUAGAUCAGAAUGCUACGGUGAAUACGUUCCCGGGCCUUGUACACACCGCCCGUCACACCAUGGGAGUGGGUUGCAAAAGAAGUAGGUAGCUUAACCUUCGGGAGGGCGCUCACCACUUUGUGAUUCAUGACUGGGGUGAAGUCGUAACAAGG
rnacentral:rRNA from 1 species